rnacentral:rRNA from 1 species
AUUGAACGCUGGCGGCAGGCUUAACACAUGCAAGUCGAGCGAGCGGCGGACGGGUGAGUCAUGUCUGGGAAACUACCUGAUGGAGGGGGAUAACUACUGGAAACGGUAGCUAAUACCGCAUACCAUCAGAUGUGCCCCAAUGGGAUUAGCUAGUAUGUGGGGUAAUGGCUCACCUAGUCGCCGAUCCCUAGCUGGUCUGAGAGGAUGACCAGCCACACUGGGACUGAGACACGGUCCAGACUCCUACGGGAGGCAGCAUUGGGGAAUAUUGCACAAGGGGCGCAAGCCUGAUGCAGCCAUGCCGCGUGUGUGAAGAAGGCCUUCGGGUUGUAAAGCUCUUUCAGCGGGGAGGCGUUACUCGCAGAAGAAGCACCGGCUAACUCCGUGCCAGCAGCCGCGGUAAUUC